rnacentral:rRNA from 1 species
GACAGAGGGGGCAAGCGUUGCUCGGAAUCACUGGGCGUAAAGGGCGCGUAGGCGGGAUGGCAAGUCAGUCGUGAAAUCUCUCGGCUCAACCGAGAAACGUCGGCUGAUACUGCCGUUCUUGAGGGAUGCAGAGGAGGCUGGAAUUCCCGGUGUAGCGGUGAAAUGUGUAGAGAUCGGGAGGAACACCGGUGGCGAAGGCGGGUCUCUGGGCAUUAACUGACGCUGAGGAGCGAAAGCAUGGGGAGCGAACAGG